rnacentral:tRNA from 1 species
GCCGGAGUAGCUCAGUCGGCAGAGCGACGCACUCGUAAUGCGUAGGUCCGCGGUUCGAUUCCGCGCUCCGGCUCCA